GACGAACGCUGGCGGCGUGCUUAACACAUGCAAGUCGAACGGAAAGGCCCUGCUUUUGUGGGGUGCUCGAGUGGCGAACGGGUGAGUAACACGUGAGUAACCUGCCCUUGACUUUGGGAUAACUUCAGGAAACUGGGGCUAAUACCGGAUAGGAGCUCCUGCUGCAUGGUGGGGGUUGGAAAGUUUCGGCGGUUGGGGAUGGACUCGCGGCUUAUCAGCUUGUUGGUGGGGUAGUGACUUACCAAGGCUUUGACGGGUAGCCGGCCUGAGAGGGUGACCGGCCACAUUGGGACUGAGAUACGGCCCAGACUCCUACGGGAGGCAGCAGUGGGGAAUAUUGCACAAUGGGCGGAAGCCUGAUGCAGCGACGCCGCGUGCGGGAUGACGGCCUUCGGGUUGUAAACCGCUUUCGCCUGUGACGAAGCGUGAGUGACGGUAAUGGGUAAAGAAGCACCGGCUAACUACGUG
rnacentral:rRNA from 1 species